AGUGAACGCUGGCGGUAGGCCUAGCACAUGCAAGUCGAACGGCAGCACAGUAAUAGCUUGCUCUUACGGGUGGCGAGUGGCGGACGGGUGAGGAAUACAUCGGAAUCUACUUUUUCGUGGGGGAUAACGUAGGGAAACUUACGCUAAUACCGCAUACGACCUACGGGUGAAAGCAGGGGAUCUUCGGACCUUGCGCGAUUGAAUGAGCCGAUGUCGGAUUAGCUAGUUGGCGGGGUAAAGGCCCACCAAGGCGACGAUCCGUAGCUGGUCUGAGAGGAUGAUCAGCCACACUGGAACUGAGACACGGUCCAGACUCCUACGGGAGGCAGCAGUGGGGAAUAUUGGACAAUGGGCGCAAGCCUGAUCCAGCCAUACCGCGUGGGUGAAGAAGGCCUUCGGGUUGUAAAGCCCUUUUGUUGGGAAAGAAAAGCAGCAGGUUAAUACCACGCUGUUCUGACGGUACCCAAAGAAUAAGCACCGGCUAACUUCGUG
rnacentral:rRNA from 1 species